CCUAACCUCUCUCUUCCUUUCUCCCAUCUUUUGGCCAUUUUUCUUGAGUCCUUUCAUAAAGAAAAUUAGCCAAAAAUUUUAGGAAGAAAAAAGAGGAAAGAUUAGUUACCAUCUUGAGUUUUUUUUAUUCCACACCUUGUCCACUCAACGUUCAAGUUGGAAGCCCUUUUUGAAGAAUAAGUUGCAAGUUGAUUUGGUUGAGAAAUCGAAUCUUUGGUGUGAUGGUGAAUUUCCUACAAUUCACAAGGAGUCAAGAAUUGAAAAGCUUGUAAGAAAAAUGAAUGGUUGAAAACUUCAAGGAAUCCAUCGGAGUGGAGUUGUAAUUGAAGCUAGUCAUCGAAUCUCCAAUUAGGGGUUAUAUCAUCACAAAUCUUAUAAGCUAAUGAAGGAUAUUCCAUUACCAUCUUUUAAAGAGAAAAGGGGAGUGAGGUGGUGAUUCCAUUUCUUUUUUGUGCAUAUUCAUGCCAAUAGGAGUUAUAUCAUAGGGCCCAUGGUUGACGGGGGUAAUACCAUCACAAAUGUUAUUUGAUGAAUGUUAAAUGAUGUAGUUGAUUUUAUUUAUUGAAUGCGAUGUGUAUG